UAACACUUAACACUUUUCCCCAGUGUUUGC
rnacentral:piRNA from 1 species